rnacentral:rRNA from 1 species
AAAGGUAAGCUACUAAGAGCGAAUGGUGGAUGCCUUGACUGGUAAAGGCGAUGAAGGACGUACUAGACUGCGAUAAGCUACGGGGAGCUGUCAAGAAGCUUUGAUCCGUAGAUUUCCGAAUGGGGCAACCCAAUGUAUAGAGAUAUACAUUACCUAUAUAGGAGCGAACGAGGGGAAUUGAAACAUCUUAGUACCCUCAGGAAAAGAAAUCAAUAGAGAUUGCGUCAGUAGCGGCGAGCGAAAGCGCAAGAGGGCAAACCCAGUGCUUGCACUGGGGGUUGUAGGACUGCAAUGUGCAAGAGCUGAGUUUAGCAGAACAUUCUGGAAAGUAUAGCCAUAGAGGGUGAUAGUCCCGUAUGCGAAAAACAAAGCUUAGCUAGCAGUAUCCUGAGUAGGGCGGGACACGAGGAAUCCUGUCUGAAUCCGGGUCGACCACGAUCCAACCCUAAAUACUAAUACCAGAUCGAUAGUGCACAAGUACCGUGAGGGAAAGGUGAAAAGAACUGAGGUGAUCAGAGUGAAAUAGAACCUGAAACCAUUUGCUUACAAUCAUUCAGAGCACUAUGUAGCAAUACAGUGUGAUGGACUGCCUUUUGCAUAAUGAGCCUGCGAGUUGUGGUGUCUGGCAAGGUUAAGCAAACGCGAAGCCGUAGCGAAAGCGAGUCUGAAUAGGGCGCUUAGUCAGAUGCUGCAGACCCGAAACGAAGUGAUCUAUCCAUGAGCAAGUUGAAGCUAGUGUAAGAACUAGUGGAGGACUGAACCCAUAGGCGUUGAAAAGCCCCGGGAUGACUUGUGGAUAGGGGUGAAAGGCCAAUCAAACUUCGUGAUAGCUGGUUCUCUCCGAAAUAUAUUUAGGUAUAGCGUUGUGUCGUAAUAUAAGGGGGUAGAGCACUGAAUGG